rnacentral:lncRNA from 1 species
GUAGGGGGGAGGUAGGAUAGAUGGAGAGGUAGGGGGAGGAUAGAUGGAGAGGUAGGGGGUGGGAGGAUAGAUGGAGAGGUGGGGGAGGAUAGAUGGAGAGGUAGGGGGGAGGAUAGAUGGAGAGGUAGGGGGAGGAUAGAUGUAGAGGUAGGGAGGGAUAGAUGGAGAGGUAGGGGGAGGUAGGAUAAAUGGAGAGGUAGGGGGAGGAUAGAUGGAGAGGUAGGGGAGGUAGGAUAGAUGGAGAGGUAGGGGGGAGGAUAGAUGGAGAGGUAGGGGGGAGGAUAGAUGGAGAGGUAGGGGAGGAUAGAUGGAGAGGUAGGGGGGAGGUAGGAUAGAUGGAGAGGUAGGGGGGAGGUAGGAUAGAUGGAGAGGUAGGAUAGAUGGAGAGGUAGGGGGGAGGAUAGAUGGAGAGGUAGGGGGGGAGGAUAGAUGGAGAGGUAGGGGGGAGGAUAGAUGGAGAGGUAGGGGGGAGGAUAGAUGGAGAGGUAGGGGGGAGGAUAGAUGGAGAGGUAGGGGGGAGGUAGGAUAGAUGGAGAGGUGGGGGGGAGGUAGGAUAGAUGGAGAGGUAGGGGGGAGGUAGG